GCCGACGUAACUCAGGGGUAGAGUACCUCAUUCGUAAUGAGGGAGUCGGGGGUUCGAAUCCCUUCGUCGGCACCA
rnacentral:tRNA from 1 species